rnacentral:lncRNA from 1 species
AUAGCAACAGCAGCGUAGCUGAACAUCUUACGGAUGGCCCAGGGCUCCAAAGGCUCGUUUCCUAAGUGAGAGAGAGCCUGGCUGAAGCUGUAUUACCAUUCAUUCUCCAGCCUCCGAAGUCUCAAAGCAUCACUUCCACCAUACUCUAACUGUCAAGACAAACACAAAGGCCCAGAAACUGCCAGACUGUCUUCUGAAGUGGCUAUAAUAUUUACACUCCCAUCAGCAGUGUAGAAGGGGUCUCACUAUGUUGUCUGGAGUGCUGUGGUGGAGUGGAGUGGCUAUUCACAGAGCCUGUUCUGCUGGGACACAGAAUCACUUGCUCCAUCUCAUACAUUGAUGAUGAUUAAUUUGUAUGUGUACCUUCCAAAAAAGAUGGUUGUGUUUGAAUGGAGGCCUUCUGGACAGGAAAAUAAUCACAUCCUUCCUGAGAUAAUGAGCACACAAUUGCCUGGAUACCUGAAGGAAUGGAGACAGCGGCAGAAAACACUGCAGAGAGAUACAGUGAACCCACAUGUUGAAGCUUUCUAGUAUAAUAAAAAUUUCAACUGUUCUGUUGAAUCAUCUGCCUGAUUGGAGGCUACAGAAAAGAUGUCAUCUUAGGAGUGCUUGCUCUGAGUGAGGCUCAUCUUCAAAUCUGAAUGACCACAAGGAGAUUUGAUUAUACAUGUGAACACCUCAGAAGGCACAGCCCACCCAGAAGGCAGACAGGUCAGGCUGCUUUUUCUUCAUUGCUUGGAUUCAAUCCUCCGGGCGGCUCAGGCUCAAACAUAACUUAAGCAUGAUUAAACUUUAGAAGAAGCUGCCAGGAAGACUGUGAAAUCUUCAUGCCCAAGGAUCCCUAAAAUUAGGAGCAACAACCACUUGGCUCAGACGGUUUAUGGAGGCAAAGGUUUGGAUGGGAUUAGAGAUUUCUAAAUGUGAGUUCGUGUCCUCUGCCAGACCACCUUACUUCCACCAUUCCUCAGCAAAUCAAGAAAAACAGGAGAAAAGACAUGCCUUUCCAUAAGUUAAAUCUAUUCUGUUUUAAUUCUAUAUUAUAUCUGCUGUACAACUUCUUUUGUUUGUAACACCAUAUUGUUGCUAGUAACUGGAAAUUAAUUUUCACAUGCCUCAGCUUAGAAAAAUAAAAAGCAGCCCUGCAUCAAUCCC